ensembl:snRNA LOC120098447 U6 spliceosomal RNA
GUGCUGGCUUUGGCAGCACAUAUAAUUGAAGUGGGAACAAUACGAAGAUUAGCACAGCUCAUGCACAAGGAUGACCCACAUGACAAGGAUGUGAAGUGUUCCGUGCUUUA